rnacentral:rRNA from 1 species
UGGGGAAUAUUGCACAAUGGAGGGAACUCUGAUGCAGCGACGCCGCGUGAACGAAGAAGGCUUUCGAGUCGUAAAGUUCUUUUAUAUGGGAAGAUAAUGACGGUACCAUAAAAAAAAGCCCCGGCUAACUACGUGCCAGCAGCCGCGGUAAUACGUAGGGGGCUAGCGUUGUCCGGAAUCACUGGGCGUAAAGGGUUCGCAGGCGGAAAUGCAAGUCAGGUGUAAAAGGCAGUAGCUUAACUACUGUAAGCAUUUGAAACUGCAUAUCUUGAGAAGAGUAGAGGUAAGUGGAAUUUUUAGUGUAGCGGUGAAAUGCGUAGAUAUUAAAAAGAAUACCGGUGGCGAAGGCGACUUACUGGGCUCAUUCUGACGCUGAGGAACGAAAGCGUGGGUAGCAAACAGG